UUGCAGACUAGAUGUUUUGUGUGAGACAAGUAACUUGUUAACAAAAGCAAUCCAAUUCAUGUAUAUAUAUAUAUAUAUGAAAUUAUGUAUCAGGGUUUAACCUGCAGUAGCAUUUGUCAGGAGGGAAUGAAACUUCAUACUAAUUUAGUGAAAAUAGAACCUAAUAAUGUUCUGUGUUUCUCUUUUGGUGCUUAACUGAUGGUCUUUGAGAGGAGGGGAUGCAGGGAGGUGAGCCGUCAGCUGGAGCUGUCGUUUGGUUCUUCUGAGCAUGGGAUAAUAUUAAAAAACUUGCAGUAUGGGGAAGCAAAGUGAGAUGGGGGUUAAAUGAACUGUCAGCUGUACAAAAAGUUUUAAGGUCAAGUAUCCAUUGAGAUUUAGCGGUCAUCUAUGGAAAGUCUACGGCUUGUAGUUACGUACAGCAGUGUUUGUCAGCACAUCACAAAUGAAGUAAAUAAUAGCUCCAUGAAUGGUUGUGUUUCUGCAAUCAAAACAACGAACGGAAUGGAGACAGUGGAGGGUGAUGCAUGAGCCAGGAUGAGCAACCAAGGCACAGAUGACUUGCUGUGUGACACUGGGAUUUGAGCUUCAGAGGAACUUGUGCAAAUGUUGCCCUUCAAUUUCUGAUGUGUAAAUUCAUUCCCUUUGCCUCACUUCUUAUCCAGUAAGUUUUCCUAUCAGUUGGAGAUUUCAGCGGAUGCAGACAUACAAUAACAUUCAACCGGAGAAGUUGUACACAUGGCCCUGGUGCAGAACCAGAUGGAAGCAAGUGAAUUUUACAGACUCAGCAGAAACCCAUAAGACCUUGAAGUUCGCAUACCUGGGCCUCCUGUUUGCACAAAGCUCAGCAGGAUUUAGAGAAGUCUUUUUAUUCUGAGUUUGUCAUCUCAUUUGGAAGUUUAAUGACACUCAUGAAACUGCCGCGAUUAUUCUAAUUCACUGCAUUUCCUUAGCAGCAGGUGAAGCAAAGGAAGGCAACAAAAAGAAUUGUGGUAGGGGAACUUUUCUAUGCCAAGAGAUCUUCCUGUGUUCCUCCCAUGACAACCUGCUUGCUGGUUUGCAUUCCUGAGCCUCAAAUAUCACCCUAAGUGAGACAUCUUUUGAAAUCUGACCUCUUUAUUCCAUUUUUGCUCGUAACAGUUUGGUGAGGAGGCUAGGUCCACAACUGACUGUAGUUUCCAAGGAAAAAAAGCUAGAGGAAAAUGCAUUUCAUGAAUUUUCACCAACGGGGAAAAGCUCCCAUGCAAACUACAGAUGUUCUGAUCCGGCAGAGGUUGUUCAGAUUUUGGGGUGCUGCAAAAGACAAGCAUGAAAAGAAUACAAGAGAAAACAGUAAGAAUGUAAAUCUCACUUUUUAUGAAAUCUGCUUGAUGAUGAUUGAUAGAGUGAAGUUGAAAGUCCUUAAUGCAAAUUAAAAUCAAGUCCUUAAAAUGUGUUGGGUUUUUCAACUCGUUUUCUAUUUCAUUGCUAACUUUGAGUUUCUCUACACAAGUAAAUGUAAGCUUUUUUUUCUGCUAAAAAUUUUUCACUAGCAUUUUUAAACUGGUUUUUACUUGUAUUGCUGUAAUGUCCAGCAACCUCUUAGCAGAUUUGGAUUGGGAUUUUAUUUUUCUAGAUGCUUAAUGAACGCAAAACAUGCCAGCUUGUGUUCUAAAGAAUUUACAGUGGCUGUAGGCACAACAAACUGACUGUAUUUGAAUAUAGCCUGUGGAACCAUUCUAUCAGAUCAAAUAUGAAAUUAUAGGAAUGAAACUGUGUCUGUUCCUAGAUUCCUACUUGAUUAGAAACUGUUAUGGAUAAGCCUACACUGCACACUUCCUAUUUAGAUACCAAGCUGGUAGCAACACAGUGUGAAGUCUUUGUGAUUAUUUUUUUUUUGUACACUUGAGAUUUUUCUCAAAUUUCAACUUCUCGUACG